rnacentral:rRNA from 1 species
UACGAAGGGGGCGAGCGUUGUUCGGAAUUACUGGGCGUAAAGGGCGCGUAGGCGGUCCUUCAAGUCAGGCGUGAAAGCCCCGGGCUCAACCUGGGAACUGCAUUUGUGACUGCAUCGCUGGAGUGCGGCAGAGGGGGAUGGAAUUCCGCGUGUAGCAGUGAAAUGCGUAGAUAUGCGGAGGAACACCGAUGGCGAAGGCAAUCCCCUGGGCCUGCACUGACGCUCAUGCACGAAAGCGUGGGGAGCAAACAGG